AUAGCGUAUAUUUAAGUUGUUGCAGUUAAAAAGCUCGUAGUUGGAUUUCGGUUAAGAGCGACCGGUCCGCCGUUUGGUGUGCACUGGUUGGUUUUAACUUCCUGUAGAGGACGUGCUCUGGGCUUAACGGUCUGGACUCGGAGUCUACGUGGUUACUUUGAAAAAAUUAGAGUGUUCAAAGCGGGCUUACGCUUGAAUAUUUCAGCAUGGAAUAACACUAUAGGACUCCUGUCCUAUUUCGUUGGUCUCGGGACGGGAGUAAUGAUUAAGAGGAACAGUUGGGGGCAUUCGUGUUUCAUUGUCAGAGGUGAAAUUCUUGGAUUUAUGAAAGACGAACUUCUGCGAAAGCAUUUGCCAAGGAUGUUUUCAUUAAUCAAGAACGAAAGUUGGGGGCUCGAAGAUGAUUAGAUACCAUCCUAGUCUCAACCAUAAACGAUGCCGACUAGGGAUUGGCGGAUGUUAAUUGAUGACUCCGCCAGCACCUUAUGAGAAAUCAAAGUUUUUGGGUUCCGGGGGGAGUAUGGUCGCAAGGCUGAAACUUAAAGGAAUU
rnacentral:rRNA from 1 species